GAAACCGGCCAGGCCGGUCCGGCGGCUCUCGCCCAGUCCCGCGUACAUAACUCAGGUCGCCGUGCUCCACAAAUGCCUGUUCCUGGCUACAUCAUCACUCCUACGCUGAUGUCGUGUGGGUAGGUGCCCCUGGCUGAAAUAUUACAAGAUUUUUUUUUUUUUUUUCCCUAAUUACAAGGCAGUGAUAGUGAAAAGAUUGGACCUGGAAAAGUGUUUCCCAAAGCAAUCCGACUUGAAGCUUUGCAUUUCUUUCAUCUUCAGGGGGGAAAAAAAAAAAGAUAGCAUAUGCUAUUGUCAAAGGUGCGUGGGCAGCUGUAAAUGGGAAAGGAUUUCAUCUUCUUGAAGAAAAGGCUUUCUGCACAAACAGAAAAAAGGUCCUAUAGACUAAAAUUACUUCAAAGACUGAAAUCCUGCAUGUGGAACGGCGUGCGUUAGCACGGGAUGAACUGUGCUGAAUCACACACACGAAAUACCUUUGCAAGAAAGAGACUCCUCAAAGCCCUUGGUCAUCAGAUCAGCCGGCUCCGCGGUAACACUGACACAGGCGUCUUGCAGCCUGUUCUGCCUGCUCCCCACAAGAAGACUGAGAAACGCUAAAAUAGGUAUUUUCCAGGCAGUCCUUGCAAUACCAAACACGUCUCAGAAUAAAUCUGGGGGGCAGGGACUUAAUACUCUUCCUCAACAGUUCUGCCUCUUGUAUUCGUUUUUAUUGCUGGUGCACUCAGGCAAUUAUUAAUUCCUGUUUGUCUGUGUGAUUACUAGAGAACCACAGUGCACUCUCCUGGGGACACCGCUCCCAGAAGCCAGCCACUCCAAUGGGAAGGUGGUGGAAACAAAUGACUUCACCCGCAGACCAACAAGCAGUUAGUGAAGAGCAAAAUGAUUUAAAAAAGCAAGAUGCUGCCACUUAUAAAAGCCCCUGACCAAAUUGCCUGGGAUCCGUCUGCCUGAAAUAAUAACCUCCUGGCAAAAACCAUACAGAUACUCCCUUGGUUUUGGGAAAGGGAAAACACCAGAAGGCUGACAGUGAUCCCGGAGCUCAGGAUAGCAAGCUUUCUAGGUUUAUCUUAACAUAACAAAUGAAAAUUGUAUGGCAGGCUGAGGAAAUCUUGCAGAAGGACGUUUGUGAAGCUGAAAGCACAGACUGUAGGGGCAGAUAAUAAUAGCAGCAAGCAAGUAGAUAAAAGGGAACAUGAUCAUAACAGGCAGGACUUUCUCCUGUCCCCGUGAGGGGGAGAUUCUGCAGGUGCUCCCUAGACUAUUCUUUGGGAAGCUGGGAGUGGCUGGAGAAAUGGGCACCAUCAGUGCCAGAACAGGUUGGUACUUACCAUCAGAUUGUAUUUCAUCUUUGGCUGCAAACUCUCAUCCCAUGCAAAUGAAAAGAUUUUAAGUUGUUUUG